rnacentral:rRNA from 1 species
AUUGAACGCUGGCGGCAGGCCUAACACAUGCAAGUCGAGCGAGUGGCGGACGGGUGAGUAAUGUAUGGGGACUGCCCGAUAGAGGGGGAUAACUACUGGAAACGGUGGCUAAUACCGCAUACUAUCGGAUAACCCAUAUGGGAUUAGCUAGUAGGUGGGGUAAAGGCUCACCUAGGCGACGAUCUCUAGCUGGUCUGAGAGGAUGAGCAGCAACACUGUGACUGAGACAGGGCCCAGACUCCUACGGAGGCAGCAGUGGGGAAGAUUGCACAAUGGGCGCAAGCCUGAUGCAGCCCUGCCGCGUGUAUGAAGAAGGCCUUAGGGUUGUAAAGUACUUUCAGCGGGGAGGCGUUACCCGCAGAAGAAGCACCGGCUAACUCCGUGCCAGCAGCCGCGGUAAUUC